CAGGGAGACAAACAAAGAACAUGUUGUCUGAGUUAUUUAUUCUUAGGCCGUGUUCCUGUCACCUUAGGUCGAUCGGUACCUCAAAUUGAUAACCAAAAAAAUUGGGAAUUUAAUUUUUCAAUUAGGUCAUUAAUAUCAGUUCCUAAACUUGUCUAGGUCACACCCAACAUGGGUACUCCUGGGCCAUUAGCUCAGGUGGUUAGAGCGCACCCCUGAUAAGGGUGAGGUCCCUGGUUCAAGUCCAGGAUGGCCCAUUCGUUGUUGGGGGUAUAGCUCAGUUGGUAGAGCGCCUGCUUUGCAAGCAGGAUGUCAGCGGUUCGAGUCCGCUUACCUCCACUGAUAACCACCUAAUAAAGAAUCCUCAGGAUACUUUUUAUGGCUGUGACUUAGAUUUGUUCUGAUUUGAUGAACCUAGCUUCUUAUCAUUCCUAACUUUAAAAGUCUUUUCUAGACAUUAGGUUGAUAUGACGCUGGGCUCUCUUUGCAAGUUUAAUUUGCAAAGAUGUUCAGUAGAACCUUGACAACUGCAUAGGAAAGUCUGGAAAGAAUAAAGCAUCUCAUGGAUGCAUUUACUUUAUCUUUUUUGAGAAAGUUUAUGUUAAUUCUUGAGCAAGAGUAAAGACUCUAUAACGCUCUUUCUUUGUUAUUUCAAAGAAAGUUUGAUUGUUUAUUUGUUUUAUACUUUUAGCUAAUUUUAUUGUUAAUGAAAUUAGUUAGAUAUAGGAUCUAAUAAAUAAGAAUAGUACAUAAUGUACAGCACGUUAUAGAGAUUAAU
rnacentral:tRNA from 1 species